GGGGAAUAUUGGACAAUGGGCGAAAGCCUGAUCCAGCCAUGCCGCGUGAGUGAUGAAGGCCCUAGGGUUGUAAAGCUCUUUCACCGGUGAAGAUAAUGACGGUAACCGGAGAAGAAGCCCCGGCUAACUUCGUGCCAGCAGCCGCGGUAAUACGAAGGGGGCUAGCGUUGUUCGGAAUUACUGGGCGUAAAGCGCACGUAGGCGGACUGGUCAGUUAGGGGUGAAAUCCCAGGGCUCAACCCUGGAACUGCCUUUAAUACUGCCAGUCUAGAGUCCGAGAGAGGUGAGUGGAGUUCCGAGUGUAGAGGUGAAAUUCGUAGAUAUUCGGAGGAACACCAGUGGCGAAGGCGGCUCACUGGCUCGGGACUGACGCUGAGGUGCGAAAGCGUGGGGAGCAAAC
rnacentral:rRNA from 1 species